GACGAACGCUGGCGGCGUGCUUAACACAUGCAAGUCGAACGGAAAGGCCCCCACUUUUUUGGUGGGGGUGCUCGAGUGGCGAACGGGUGAGUAACACGUGGGUGAUCUGCCCUGUACUUCGGGAUAAGCUUGGGAAACGGGGUCAAAUACCGGUAGGGACAAUGGUUUGUUUUCUCAGGGGGGAAAAAUUAUUGUUUUGUUGCAGGAGAAGCUCGCGGCCUAUCAGCUUGUUGGUGGGGUAAUGGCCUACCAAGGCGUCGACGGGUAGCCGGCCUGAGAGGGUGGACGGCCACAUUGGGACUGAGAUACGGCCCAGACUCCUACGGGAGGCAGCAGUGGGGAAUAUUGCACAAUGGGCGCAAGCCUGAUGCAGCGACGCCGCGUGGGGGAUGACGGCCUUCGGGUUGUAAACUCCUUUCGUUAGGGACGAAGCCGCACCUUUUUUGGGUGUGGUGACGGUACCUUUGUUAAGAAGCACCGGCUAACUACGUG
rnacentral:rRNA from 1 species